rnacentral:rRNA from 1 species
AGAGUUUGAUCCUGGCUCAGGACGAACGCUGGCGGCGCGCCUAACACAUGCAAGUCGAACGAGCGAGAGAGAGCUUGCUUUCUCGAGCGAGUGGCGAACGGGUGAGUAACGCGUGAGGAACCUGCCUCAAAGAGGGGGACAACAGUUGGAAACGACUGCUAAUACCGCAUAAGCCCACGGCUCGGCAUCGAGCAGAGGGAAAAGGAGCAAUCCGCUUUGAGAUGGCCUCGCGUCCGAUUAGCUAGUUGGUGAGGUAACGGCCCACCAAGGCAACGAUCGGUAGCCGGACUGAGAGGUUGAACGGCCACAUUGGGACUGAGACACGGCCCAGACUCCUACGGGAGGCAGCAGUGGGGAAUAUUGCACAAUGGGGGAAACCCUGAUGCAGCGACGCCGCGUGGAGGAAGAAGGUCUUCGGAUUGUAAACUCCUGUUGUUGGGGAAGAUAAUGACGGUACCCAACAAGGAAGUGACGGCUAACUACGUGCCAGCAGCCGCGGUAAAACGUAGGUCACAAGCGUUGUCCGGAAUUACUGGGUGUAAAGGGAGCGCAGGCGGGAAGACAAGUUGGAAGUGAAAUCUAUGGGCUCAACCCAUAAACUGCUUUCAAAACUGUUUUUCUUGAGUAGUGCAGAGGUAGGCGGAAUUCCCGGUGUAGCGGUGGAAUGCGUAGAUAUCGGGAGGAACACCAGUGGCGAAGGCGGCCUACUGGGCACCAACUGACGCUGAGGCUCGAAAGUGUGGGUAGCAAACAGGAUUAGAUACCCUGGUAGUCCACACCGUAAACGAUGAUUACUAGGUGUUGGAGGAUUGACCCCUUCAGUGCCGCAGUUAACACAAUAAGUAAUCCACCUGGGGAGUACGACCGCAAGGUUGAAACUCAAAGGAAUUGACGGGGGCCCGCACAAGCAGUGGAGUAU